GAUGAACGCUGGCGGCGUGCCUAAUACAUGCAAGUCGAGCGAACAGACGAGGAGCUUGCUCCUCUGACGUUAGCGGCGGACGGGUGAGUAACACGUGGAUAACCUACCUAUAAGACGGGGAUAACUUCGGGAAACCGGAGCUAAUACCGGAUAAUAUAUUGAACCGCAUGGUUCAAUAGUGAAAGACGGUUUUGCUGUCACUUAUAGAUGGAUCCGCGCCGCAUUAGCUAGGUGGUAAGGUAACGGCUUACCAAGGCAAGGAUGCGUAGCCGACCUGAGAGGGUGUUCGGCCACCCUGGAACGGGGACACGCCCCAGACUCUAAAGGGAGGAAGCAGAAGGGAAUCUUCCGAAAUGGGGGAAAGCCGAACGAAGCAACGCAGCGUAAGUAAUGAGGGUCUUCGGACCGUAAAACUCUGUUAUUAGGGAAGAAGAAAUGUGUAAUUGACUAUGCACAUUUUGACGGUAGCUAAUCAGAAAGCCACGGCUAACUACGUG
rnacentral:rRNA from 1 species